UACGUAGGGGGCAAGCGUUGUCCGGAAUCAUUGGGCGUAAAGCGCGUGUAGGCGGCCCGAUAAGUCCGCUGUGAAAGUCCAGGGCUCAACCCUGGAAUGCCGGUGGAUACUGUCGGGCUCGAGUCCGGAAGAGGCGAGUGGAAUUCCUGGUGUAGCGGUGGAAUGCGCAGAUAUCAGGAGGAACACCGAUAGCGAAGGCAGCUCGCUGGGACGGUACUGACGCUGAGGCGCGAAAGCGUGGGGAGCGAACAGG
rnacentral:rRNA from 1 species